GGGGAAAACUGCAAGAGAAUAAUCCUUCCCCGCUUGGGCGCUGGUGGCUUUGUUCGGGGUUUCGGACUUAGAGUUCCCCCUUUUCUCUGGACCCCAGUUUCCUAUAAAAGCCCAACCUUUUUUUUUAAAACAAAAUAUGAAGACCUCCUUUUUUUUUUUUUUUUUUUAAACAAAAAUUCCCCUCACCUUGAACAGAACAUAUUAACAUCCCUCUCCUCAAACUGUCGUCUUGAAUCUGCCUUUUCAGCUACUGGCUCUCUGGGAAAGCUUCCUGCUUCGGAACCUGCUCCUUCUCCUCUCCCUCCUAACUAAGCUUUACCAACAGACAGCUGACCUCGCCCACCAGCUCCAAUGGGCACUCAUUUUUUGCCUGCCGCGUGCCGGGCGCCUUGGUCGGUGCUGGUAAUUUGAGAAUAAAGAAUGAAACAAAAAGGUGCCAAAGAGCCGACUUCCUAACAAGGCGAAGAAGAACCUCCACGGGGAUGUGUGUGCAUGUGCAGAUGCAGAGAAUGGAGUCUAAAACAUUGAGAGUUUCAAACUCCAGGAGAACAAGCAACAGGGAGUACAAGGAAUCCAGAUGAAGUUUUGCAACAAUUCAGCAUCAAUGCUGCAGCAAGCAAGGGAUUAUUCAGGACUCCAUCCAGCCCAGCAAAAGGACUCCUUGGGCAAUGAUGGCCACUUUUGGCUAUGAACUUGGUGGGAUCAAUGCUAUGUAGGGACUGAACUCAAUUUUGAAUCUAAUUUCCAUUUCUUUCUCUUUUUCACCCCCUCCACUAAAAUGAUAUAAUGGGAAUUAUGAUCCAUGCAUUCUGUUGGGAGAAAAUUUUUUACAUUUGUUCUUGUUAUGUCUUUGAGAUAAAUAUCCCUUUGUAAAAG